rnacentral:rRNA from 1 species
AUGAGCAGCGCCUUCGAGAGCGGAUCUCCGCAGGGUUCGCCUUCGGUGCCAAGGAUCAAGUCGGAAGGGUCGUUGGAAGGGAUGUUGUCGGCUUCCACCAAUCCUUCAGACAAGUCAUCUGGGCGUGCCACGACGAUCAUCAGCAACAAGAAACCAAGCGUGUCUAGACAGGCCCGUUUGUUGAAUGCUAAGGAGAGCAGACGACGGAGUUCCAGCAGGCGCGGCGGAGCAGCCAAGACGAGCAUGGGGGAGAGUGCGGAAAAGCAAAAUCAUCAUCGUCGCUCCAUCGGUCCAAUGCGUUCGGACGCGACAUCUAGCAUCGCCUGCACCGGCCACCCCCGCAUCUGCAUCACCACCGCGAGCAGGCAGCUGAAAGACAUCUUUGGGCUUGAGCACCUGAAUUCGAUGAAGAAUGUAGAGCAGAGCGCAAGGGAAGAAGACACCGAACAAGGCACGAGCGGCGAUGACGCGGUGGGCUCUAAGCGGCGGCGAUCCGAUGGGUUCCCGGUGCUAAAUGGAUGGCUGAUCAACCAGGGGGUGCGCGGCGUGAUCGUCAUCAUAGCCUGCGGCGCGGGCGUUCCUCAACAACAGGUGAAGGAAGGAAGGAAGGAAGAAGAGGACUUGAUACAAGAAGUUGCGGUCGAUGAGAUGCAGUGCCAUUAUUGA